UACAGAGGGUGCAAGCGUUGUUCGGAAUUAUUGGGCGUAAAGCGCACGUAGGCGGAUUGCUAAGUCAGGGGUGAAAUCCUGGAGCUCAACCUCGGAACUGCCUUUGAUACUGCAAAUCUCGAGUCCGGAAGAGGUGAGUGGAAUUCCUAGUGUAGAGGUGAAAUUCGUAGAUAUUAGGAAGAACACCAGUGGCGAAGGCGGCUCACUGGUCCGGUACUGACGCUGAGGUGCGAAAGCGUGGGGAGCAAACAGG
rnacentral:rRNA from 1 species